UACAGAGGGUGCGAGCGUUAAUCGGAGUUACUGGGCGUAAAGGGCGUGUAGGCGGUCUGUUAAGUCUGGCGUGAAAGCUCUCGGCUAAACCGGGAGAGGUCGUUGGAUACUGGCAGACUAGAGGACGGUAGAGGCGUGUGGAAUUCCGGGUGUAGUGGUGAAAUGCGUAGAGAUCCGGAGGAGCACCAGUGGCGAAGGCGACACGCUGGGCCGUACCUGACGCUAAAGCGCGACAGCAUGGGGAGCAAACGGG
rnacentral:rRNA from 1 species